AACGGCGAGUGAAGCGGCAACAGCUCAAAUUUGAAAUCUGGCCCCCAGGGCCCGAGUUGUAAUUUGCAGAGGAUGCUUUUGGCGCGGUGCCUUCCGAGUUCCCUGGAACGGGACGCCAUAGAGGGUGAGAGCCCCGUCUGGUCGGACGCCUAGCCUGUGUAAAGCUCCUUCGACGAGUCGAGUAGUUUGGGAAUGCUGCUCUAAAUGGGAGGUAUAUGUCUUCUAAAGCUAAAUACCGGCCAGAGACCGAUAGCGCACAAGUAGAGUGAUCGAAAGAUGAAAAGCACUUUGAAAAGAGGGUUAAAUAGUACGUGAAAUUGUUGAAAGGGAAGCGCUUGUGACCAGACUUGGGCCCGGUGGAUCAUCCAGCGUUCUCGCUGGUGCACUCCGCCGGGUUCAGGCCAGCAUCAGUUCGCCGCGGGGGAAAAAGGCUUCGGGAACGUGGCUCCUACGGGAGUGUUAUAGCCCGUUGCAUAAUACCCUGGGGCGGACUGAGGUUCGCGCUCCGCAAGGAUGCUGGCGUAAUGGUCAUCAGCGACCCGUCUUGAAACACGGACCAAGGAGUCGUCUUCGUAUGCGAGUGUUCGGGUGUAAAACCCCUACGCGUAAUGAAAGUGAACGCAGGUGAGAGCUUCGGCGCAUCAUCGACCGAUCCUGAUGUUCUCGGAUGGAUUUGAGUAAGAGCAUACGGGGCCGGACCCGAAAGAAGGUGAACUAUGCCUGUAUAGGGUGAAGCCAGAGGAAACUCUGGUGGAGGCUCGCAGCGGUUCUGACGUGCAAAUCGAUCGUCAAAUAUGGGCAUGGGGGCGAAAGACUAAUCGAACCUUCUAGUAGCUGGUUUCCGCCGAAGUUUCCCUCAGGAUAGCAGUGUUGAACUCAGUUUUAUGAGGUAAAGCGAAUGAUUAGGGACCCGGGGGCGCUUUUUAGCCUUCAUCCAUUCUCAAACUUUAAAUAUGUAAGAAGCCCUUGUUGCUUAAUUGAACGUGGGCAUUCGAAUGUAUCAACACUAGUGGGCCAUUUUUGGUAAGCAGAACUGGCGAUGCGGGAUGAACCGAACGCGAGGUUAAGGUGCCAGAGUAGACGCUCAUCAGACACCACAAAAGGGCGUUAGUACAUCUUGACAGCAGGACGGUGGCCAUGGAAGUCGGAAUCCGCUAAGGACUGUGUAACAACUCACCUGCCGAAUGUACUAGCCCUGAAAAUGGAUGGCGCUCAAGCGUCUCACCCAUACCUCGCCCUCAGGGUAGAAACGAUGCCCUGAGGAGUAGGCGGACGUGGAGGUCGUGACGAA
rnacentral:rRNA from 1 species